CUUCAUCCCCUUAAGUCAAAUUUUUAUUUUGAAAUAUCUCUAGUUCUGUAAUGGACUCUAUGCAUGAAAUGUCACAGGGACACAUGCCAUACUUCCGGAAGAGAAUGGUGUACGAGAUAGUAAAGAAAAAAUUACUGCAGUGAUGUCAUUUCCAGUGCAAUAUUCGAAGAAUUUUGAUAAGAAAUUGAAAUAUUUCUGUCAUUCACUUAACUAUUAUUUCUAAUGGACGCCUCUUGGAAUUGAAAUUGCACUAAGAAAUAUAAAAAUGUGAAUUUUUCUUAACACAAGCAUCGAAGGAGGAAAAGACAGUAUUGUUAAAUUGGACUCCUAUUUCCUGCAAAAGAAUUUAAAUUCUUACCGAAUGUUUGGAGAAUUUGGAAAUUAUUUGUACAUGUAUUUGAAAUUCAGUAAAGAGCUUGUGUGCCAACUAUUGAAGGGGUGUGAAAUCUGAAAGUGACUUGAAAAAGCAUUGAAAACAAAAUAGGAGUUCCUUAAGAAUGCCUUAAAAACUCUCUGAGAAUAGUACAUGCAUCACAGUAUGUUUUGUGGAAAAAAACAGUGCAUGCUGCAUUUUUGUUUGGAUAAAUUUUUAUUCAUGACCAAAUACCACCUCAACUGUGCAAGUGUCCAUCUUACAAAGUCCAAAAGUUAAGGAUGAGAACCAGUUAAGAACAAUGAGUACCAGUUCAUAAUGAGAACUAGUUUAUGAUGAGUACCAAUUCAGGAUGAGAACUAGUUUUGGAUGAGUACCAAUUCAGGAUGAGAACUAGUUUAGGAUGAGUACCAAUUCAGGAUGAGAACUAGUUUAGGAUGAGUAAGAAUUCUGAACUAGUUAUAGUGUAGGUAUAUAUACAGUGUUCAUCAAUUGCUGGAAAUUUAGUCAGACUGUGGGAAGUUAACGCCUUCAGCAGUUACUGUAACAUCAAAAGCUGAAUGUACUUGAAUUUAUCAGACAGGGCUUUGAAUGAAAGAGAAUUCAUGGAGGGGAAUGUGGAAUGUGAACAUAAAAGUUACAAACUCUAUCAUUAGUUGUAUAAAAAUAAACAGCUUUCAACAGUAACACAUAAUAAUUUGGUUGUUUAAAAUUAUAUGGAAGAAGUUUGUGUCUGUCAGUCAUAGAGACCAGUGACCAUGUACAGUUAUGUUGAGAGAGACAGGGAUUCCCAUGUUGUAAUGUAAUGUGAAGUCAAAAUGUGAAGCAUGUACAUAUUGGAAUAAAUAUUGUGAAACAAGGAAA